GUUCCAACAAAGUUGUCUAGAUUACUUUAUUGUGUAGUGUAAAGCUUAUGAAACCAUCAGCAACUACUGAGUUGCUAACACGCAUAUGGAUUUGUCACUAUACAGGUGGAACUCGGGUGUACCACUGCAGUGCUGCGGAAAUUGGCUUCACCAGCGGCUUUGCAACAGCUGUUUCGCAGCAUGUCGGAGACAAUGCCUACGAAAUUAUUGGCCCUGAUCAUGAGAGCCCUCAAGGGGCAAACAACAUCUCUGUUGCAGAAGUGAGCCCGAUACCACUUGGAAGUUACCAUGACAGAUGACACGGCAGCAAUAGAUACAGAGACUGCCAUGUCUGCUGCAGCUGCAACAGUGUACGAGGCAAGCAGCAGCGCGUCAGCAUCAGCAGCAGUGUCAGAAGGAACCACACCAGGCCUGGUAGAGCAACAUGUGUGCUAUCACUGACUUUUUUUGUAGUGGAUACAACUCAUUUGCUCAACAUACAAAAGCUUUUCACCACGACUGUGAGCCAGUGUUAUUGUGCAGCAAGUGCAAGACUAAGUUAGGUGUUAUAACACAGUACAAGCAUCACUUUAAUAUAUGCAAAUGCAAACAUAUUACAGUUGUUGCCUCCCCAGCCAGCCCACAUAGUGACAACAAUGUGGAACACAUGGUGGGACACACCUCUCCCCCAUUACAAGAUAGUAGAGACUGUCAGUGUUGUUGCUAGAUUGACUGGUCUUUGUAGGCAACUAGAAGGACAACACAGGUGUCAUAAGAUUGUUGUUGAUGUUGUUGUUGAAGAGGUAAAAAAGAAGUUUGAUGCAGCUGAAGUGCCAACUGAUAUUGAGCAAAUCAAAAGCAACCACCUGAGAAAGCAACACUAUCGAAAUUUGGGUAUCUAUGUGCCGCCAACUCUGGUAAGAAUGGCAUAGGACAGAAGGGUGAUGAAAAUCACACAGACACUGCUGUUGCAUCACUGGCCACAGUGAGCAGCGACUUGUAGGGCAAGAGAGUCAACUGAAACUAACAUUAUGAUAUAGUGUCAUGCUCCCAUGUGACCACUUUUCAAUUUAUUUUGCAAGAUACAGCUCAACCUCCAGAAACGAGACUGCAACUUGUCUGUAAAAAAGCUUUCACAAAAAAUUAUUCAUAACACUAUUAACAUAGCAGUAUCUUUUUUUUUUGUGUCGGUUCGAGGUUCCCGGCUGUCCAUUAAUGCAAAAAUUGAGGAAAAAAAGAACAUGUGUCGUACUUACACCUUUUUAACAAGUACGAGGGGGACAGAACUUUUCUAGUCAUGCAUCUUCAUCAUACUAUCAAGUUUUUAAAUGCCUUUUAUAAUUAUUAUUACCAGUUAUAUCUGAGUGCAUUGUAUGCAUGUAGCAGGUGUAAAAUCAGGUCAGUUGGAUCAGAUGCCUUAUCUGCAAGCGAGCCCUAUAUUCAAGAAAUUUGCAUUAAAAUAGUUACGUUAGAGACGCAGUCUUUCAGCACUUUAUUGCCUGUGGUUUAAGCAUUGCUCAAUACUUUUGUGGGUGGCAAUUUCAACCGGCACAGCACUGCGCUUUGCCACAGUCACAUUUGUCUUCAAAGCGGUGUUUACCAUUUGUGUUGAUCUGUUUGUGUAUGCAUAGAGCAAGUUUUAAUUUAUAUUUUUCUGCAUUCUUGUGCUUGCACUAAGCUUGUAUAAGGCAGUUACAAAAUGUGCGUCACUAUAACGAACUGUUCUGUUGAGCUUACACUUGCAAAUAAUCGUGUUCAGAUGGCCGCACUUCUAUGCGGGUGCACCGCUAGCUUUGUGUAUGUUCUCAUGUUUGUAUAAAGCUUAUAUAAGCUAGUUAGAAAAUGUAUGUCACUAAGCAUUGUGAUAUUCUUUAAAGAACUGCUUGGUUGGUUUUACACUUGUGAAUUAGUAUUGAGGCGGUGGUAUUCCCAUGUAUGCCCACUGCUAGCUUUCUGUGUCCUCGCGUGUUUGUAUUAAGUUUCUACAAGGGAGUUACAGCAUGUACGUCACUAAACGCUGUGAUAUUUUUUAAAGAACUGCUUUGUUGGUUUUACACCUGUGAGUAAUAGUACUCGGGUGGCACUAGUCAUGUGUAGGUACACAGGGACCAUUUGUAUACAUUAUGCUCAUGUAAAGCAGUUACAAAGUGUAUGUCACUAAUUACUGUGAUAUUUGUUGAAUUGCUGUGAUGGUUUUACACAUGUGAAUAAUAGUGGUCAGGACACAGUACUUGCUGUGUAUAGUUGAAUUUAUACACUGCCAAGACAUGGGCUGUAUACGUACCAAAAGAAAUGUAUGUCAUUAUGUUGUUGUGAUUAUUACUGUUUGGAUUUUAUUAAACUGUAAUAAAAUUG